GUUAGGAAUAUUGGACAAUGGGCGAAAGCCUGAUCCAGCCAUGCCGCGUGUGUGAAGAAGGUCUUCGGAUUGUAAAGCACUUUAAGUUGGGAGGAAGGGCAGUAAGUUAAUACCUUGCUGUUUUGACGUUACCGACAGAAUAAGCACCGGCUAACUUCGUGCCAGCAGCCGCGGUAAUACGAAGGGUGCAAGCGUUAAUCGGAAUUACUGGGCGUAAAGCGCGCGUAGGUGGUUCAGCAAGUUGGAGGUGAAAUCCCCGGGCUCAACCUGGGAACUGCCUCCAAAACUACUGAGCUAGAGUACGGUAGAGGGUAGUGGAAUUUCCUGUGUAGCGGUGAAAUGCGUAGAUAUAGGAAGGAACACCAGUGGCGAAGGCGACUACCUGGACUGAUACUGACACUGAGGUGCGAAAGCGUGGGGAGCAAACAGGAUUAGAAACCCCAGUAGUCC
rnacentral:rRNA from 1 species